GGGAUCUAGGUUGUGCGCUCCUUGUGAGAAUCUAACGCAUCAUAAUCUGUCAUGUCUCCCAUCACCUUCAGAUGGGACUUUCUUGUUGCAAGAAAGCAAGCUCAGGGCUCCCACUGAUUCUACAUAAUGAAACCCAGAGCCCCACCGAGGAACCUCAUCGAAUAGAUCUGCUGGCCCAGAGACCUCAGAUAGGGGAAAUUGAAGGCUGAUCUCCAACCACCUUUCUUUGAUCUAAAUUUCUUCCUGAGGGGCUUGGAGAGCAUCGCAUUCCUGAGCUAAUUAACAAUUUUUUUUCUGCUAAAUCCAAAUUUUUAAGCAAAGCUUCCUUUCCUCAACCAAUUGCAAGUCAGAAAAUCUUUGAAUCCACCUAUGACCUAUAAGCCCCCACUUCAAGAUAUCCCACUCCUAACCCAAAACCAAUGUGUAACCUCCACAUACUGUCUGUAACUUCUGCAUUCCUGAAAUGCACCCCUGCCUUUAAAAACCUUUCCCUGCAAGCCACGGGGGAGGUCAGUUCUUUAGCAAGAGCUGCCCGUAUUCUUUUGCUUGGCGCCCUGCAACUAAACGCCUUCUUUUCUGCCACUGCAAAAGCUCAGUACAAUAACCACUGUGAAUAACAAGAAUCAACUGUAAUAUUCAGUGCACGAGCACAAGUGCUACAAAUGAAUUUUUAAUAAAUUUCUGAGCUUGUGAUUAUUUUCUCUGUGGUGGUGAAGCCAAGAUCCUCAUCCAAUGAUAACAAGAUCUCCUUGUGAGGAUGUCUAGUGAAAAAGUGAAGUGAUUCAGCUGACAUUGACAUACUCAGAAUCACCCCAGAUUCACAUGCAGGAGCUGGUUUUGAAAUGAAGACUCUAGAACAGGGGUGUCCAAUCUUUUGGCUUUUCUGUGCCAC
rnacentral:lncRNA from 1 species